GAUGAACGCUAGCGGCAGGCUUAAUACAUGCAAGUCGAGGGGCAGCAGGACUGUAGCAAUACAGUUGCUGGCGACCGGCAAACGGGUGCGGAACACGUACGCAACCUUCCUUCAAAUGGGGGAUAGCCCACCGAAAGGUGGAUUAAUACCCCGUAAUAUUUUCAGUGGCAUCACUGGAUCAUUAUAGCUCCGGCGUUUGA
rnacentral:rRNA from 1 species